AUUGAACGCUGGCGGCAUGCCUUACACAUGCAAGUCGAACGGCAGCACGGGUGCUUGCACCUGGUGGCGAGUGGCGAACGGGUGAGUAAUAUAUCGGAACAUACCCUAGAGUGGGGGAUAACGUAGCGAAAGUUACGCUAAUACCGCAUACGAACUAAGGUUGAAAGUGGGGGAUCGCAAGACCUCAUGCUCAUGGAGUGGCCGAUAUCUGAUUAGCUAGUUGGUGAGGUAAAGGCUCACCAAGGCGACGAUCAGUAGCUGGUUUGAGAGAACGACCAGCCACACUGGAACUGAGACACGGUCCAGACUCCUACGGGAGGCAGCAGUGGGGAAUUUCGGACAAUGGGGGCAACCCUGAUCCAGCAAUGCCGCGUGAGUGAAGAAGGCCCUCGGGUUGUAAAGCUCUUUUGUCAGGGAAGAAACGGUCUACUCUAAUACAGUGGGCUAAUGACGGUACCUGAAGAAUAAGCACCGGCUAACUACGUGCCAGCCGCCGCCGUAAAAC
rnacentral:rRNA from 1 species